rnacentral:rRNA from 1 species
GAGGGAAACAACCCAGACCGCCAGCUAAGGUCCCAAAGUCAUGGUUAAGUGGGAAACGAUGUGGGAAGGCCCAGACAGCCAGGAUGUUGGCUUAGAAGCAGCCAUCAUUUAAAGAAAGCGUAAUAGCUCACUGGUCGAGUCGGCCUGCGCGGAAGAUGUAACGGGGCUAAACCAUGCACCGAAGCUGCGGCAGCGACGCUUAUGCGUUGUUGGGUAGGGGAGCGUUCUGUAAGCCUGUGAAGGUGUGCUGUGAGGCAUGCUGGAGGUAUCAGAAGUGCGAAUGCUGACAUAAGUAACGAUAAAGCGGGUGAAAAGCCCGCUCGCCGGAAGACCAAGGGUUCCUGUCCAACGUUAAUCGGGGCAGGGUGAGUCGACCCCUAAGGCGAGGCCGAAAGGCGUAGUCGAUGGGAAACAGGUUAAUAUUCCUGUACUUGGUGUUACUGCGAAGGGGGGACGGAGAAGGCUAUGUUGGCCGGGCGACGGUUGUCCCGGUUUAAGCGUGUAGGCUGGUUUUCCAGGCAAAUCCGGAAAAUCAAGGCUGAGGCGUGAUGACGAGGCACUACGGUGCUGAAGCAACAAAUGCCCUGCUUCCAGGAAAAGCCUCUAAGCAUCAGGUAACAUCAAAUCGUACCCCAAACCGACACAGGUGGUCAGGUAGAGAAUACCAAGGCGCUUGAGAGAACUCGGGUGAAGGAACUAGGCAAAAUGGUGCCGUAACUUCGGGAGAAGG